CUUGGCGAACUGGUGAGUAAUACAUUGGAAUCUACCCCUAACUCGGGGAUAACCCAUCGAAAGGUGGGAUAAUACCCGAUAGUCUCGAAAGAGUAAAGUUCCGGCGGUUAGGGAGGAGCCUCUGUCCUAUCAGCUUGUUGGUAAGGUAAUGGCUUACCAAGGCGAUGACGGGUAGCUGGUCUGAGAGGAUGAUCAGCCACAUUGGGACUGAGAUACGGCCCAGACUCC
rnacentral:rRNA from 1 species